AUCUGCUUGUCGGAGUGCCUUAAAUUUGAGGCUGAGAUUGCGUAAGCAAAAUCCGUUGUACCUGAUCAGGUUAAUUCCUGCGGAGGAAACAAGACUUCGACAUGC
rnacentral:ncRNA from 2 species